rnacentral:rRNA from 1 species
CCUACGGGAUGCAGCAGUGGGGAAUCUUGGGCAAUGGGCGAAAGCCUGACCCAGCAACGCCGCGUGAAGGAAGAAGGCUUUCGGGUUGUAAACUUCUUUUGACAGGGAAGAGCAUAAGACGGUACCUGUCGCAUAAGCCACGGCUCCCUACGUGCCAGCAGCCGCGGUAAUACGUAGGUGGCAAGCGUUGUCCGGAUUUACUGGGUUUAAAGGGUGCGUAGGCGGCGCUUCAGGUCAGCGGUGAAAUACCGGGGCUCAACCCCGGGGCUGCCGUUGAAACCGGAGCGCUAGAAUUCCGAUGCCGUCGGAGGAAUGUGUGGUGUGGCGGUGAAAUGCAUAGAUAUCACACAGAACACCGAUUGCGAAGGCAUCUGACGAAGCGGAGAUUGACGCUGAUGCACGAAAGCGUGGGUAUCGAACAGGAUUAGAUACCCCAGGAGUC